rnacentral:lncRNA from 1 species
UAGUGGCCUUGAGGGCGGUUUGGCUCAUGAUUUUUCCUGAUUUGAUGCCAUUCUCCACCAUUUCCCCAAUUUUUAUUGCUUCGGCGAAAGGUUUACCAACCGCGGCUAGUAAAUGAUGAAAAUAAUCAGACUCUUGAGUUUGGAGAAAAAUGUCAAUCAAUUCCUGGUCCUUCAGUGGCGGCUUGACUCUAGAUGCCUGUUCUCUC